CAGGUCUUGACAUCCUCUGACAACCCUAGAGAUAGGGCGUUCCCCUUCGGGGGACAGAGUGACAGGUGGUGCAUGGUUGUCGUCAGCUCGUGUCGUGAGAUGUUGGGUUAAGUCCCGCAACGAGCGCAACCCUUGAUCUUAGUUGCCAGCAUUCAGUUGGGCACUCUAAGGUGACUGCCGGUGACAAACCGGAGGAAGGUGGGGAUGACGUCAAAUCAUCAUGCCCCUUAUGACCUGGGCUACACACGUGCUACAAUGGAUGGAACAAAGGGUCGCGAAGCCGCGAGGUGAAGCCAAUCCCAUAAAUCCAUUCUCAGUUCGGAUUGCAGGCUGCAACUCGCCUGCAUGAAGCCGGAAUCGCUAGUAAUCGCGGAUCAGCAUGCCGCGGUGAAUACGUUCCC
rnacentral:rRNA from 1 species